CAACUACUCCCUCUGUUCCAAAUUACUUGUCGUAGGUAUGGAUGUAUCUAGAAGUAUUUUAGUUGUAGAUACAUCCAUUUUUGCGACGAGUAAUUUGGAACGCAGGGAGUAUCAU
rfam:Triticum aestivum genome assembly, contig: Triticum_aestivum_CS42_TGACv1_scaffold_001303_1AL